UACGUAGGGGGCGAGCGUUGUCCGGAGUUACUGGGCGUAAAGCGCACGCAGGCGGUCUGUUAAGUUUGGAGUGACAGUUGGUGGCUCAACCACCAAAGUGCUUUGAAAACUGAUAGACUUGAGGGCUUCAGAGGGACACGGAAUUCCGGGUGGAGUGGUGAAAUGCGUAGAGAUCCGGGAGGAACACCAAAGGCGAAGGCAGUGUCCCUGGG
rnacentral:rRNA from 1 species